rnacentral:rRNA from 1 species
UACGUAGGGACCAAGCGUUGUCCGGAAUCAUUGGGCGUAAAGAGCGUGUAGGCGGCUUGUUAAGUCUUGCGUGAAAUCUCGGGGCUCAACCCCGAGCGGUCGUGAGAAACUGGCAGGCUAGAGUGCGGGAGAGGAGACUGGAAUUCCUGGUGUAGCGGUGAAAUGCGCAGAUAUCAGGAGGAACACCGGUGGCGAAGGCGGGUCUCUGGGCCGUAACUGACGCUGAGGAGCGAAAGCGUGGGGAGCGAACAGG